CCUCAUGACCCUGUCUAAACUGUUGUAUUGCUGCGCUUGUAAUGUGUGUGAUCGGUUUUCAAAUUCAGAAACUGACGAAUUUCGAAAGUACAGUUUUUGCAAAGAAAAUCAUUCUUAUAAACUUCCGUUCAAGCUAUCAAAGUCUACUGAACAGAAAAUAGAUCGAAUGUCUAAAUAUACUGAACAUUUAGACCCCCAGGAUUUAUGCCGGAUUUCAUUGUACCCAGAACAACAAAACAAACAAUGGCUUGGGUACAAGUAUCUACAACCUGUUCGCAGGCAAACAAGAACAGCAUCUAACCCCUUUUUGCUGUUUUUUGUCCCUUUACGAAAAAUGGAAAAAGUCGCUAAAAAUGGACGAAAAGUUAAUGCUAUAAUAGCUUUACUUUUUUGCUGUUUUUUUGGCCACUUAUAAAAAAUGGAAAAAGUCACUAAAAAUGGAAGAAAAUUUAAUGCUAUAAUAGCUUUACUUUUUUGCUGUUUUUUGGCCAUUUAUGAAAAAUGGAAAAAGUCGCUAAAAUUGGACGAAAAGUUAAGCCUUACUUUUUUGCUGUUUUUUGCCCACUUAUGAAAAAUGGAAAAAGUCGCUAAAAAUGGAUGAAAAGUUAAGGCUACAGCCUUACUUUUUUGCCUAUUUAUUAAAAAUGAAAAAAGUCGCUAAAAAUGGAUGAAAAGUUAAUGCUAUAGCCUUACUUUUUUGCUGUUUUUUGCCUAUUUAUUAAAAAUGAAAAAAGUCGCUAAAAAUGGACGAAAAGUUAAUGCUAUAGCCUUACUUUUUUUCUGUUUUUUGCCAACUUAUGAAAAAUGGAAAAAGUCGCUAAAAAUGGAUGAAAAGUUAAGGCUAUUGCAUUACUUUUUUGCUGUUUUUUGCCCAUUUAUGAAAAAUGUAAAAAGUCGCUAAAAAUGGAUGAAAAGUUAAUGCUAUAGCCUUACUUUUUUGCUGGGGUUUUUUCUUCCUAUUUAUGAAUGGAAAAAGUCGCUAAAAAUGGAUGAAAAGUUAAGGCUAUUGCAUUACUUUUUUGCUGUUUUUUGCCCAUUUAUGAAAAAUGUAAAAAGUCGCUAAAAAUGGAUGAAAAGUUAAUGCUAUAGCCUUACUUUUUUGCUGGGGUUUUUUCUUCCUAUUUAUGAAUGGAAAAAGUCGCUAAAAAUGGAUGAAAAGUUAAGGCUAUUGCAUUACUUUUUUGCUGUUUUUUGCCCAUUUAUGAAAAAUGUAAAAAGUCGCUAAAAAUGGAUGAAAAGUAAGCCUUACUUUUUUGCCGCUUUUCACGUUUGAAAUGUUUUUCAGUUCCAUGUUUUUCAAAAUGGACAUAUAGCCUUAUUUUUUUGCCGUUUUUCAUGUUUCUUACUUUUUUGCUGUUUUUUUUCUUUUUUUGCUGUUUUUUGGCCACUUAUGAAAAAUGGAAAUAUAGCCUUACUUUUUUGCUGUUUUUUACCCACUUAUGAAAAAUGAAAAAAAUCGCUAAAAAUGGACGAAAAGUUAAGGCUAUAUAUAUAGCCUUACUUUUUUGCUGUUUUUUGCCCACUUAUGAAAAAUGAAGAAAGUCGCUAACUAGGGAUCCAAGGAUAGUGCAGAGUUUCAAAGACAAAUGCUAUAAGGCAUGCUUAUUAAUUGAAAAGCUUUUCAAGCGUGAUUUAUAGCCUUAAUCGCAUGUCG
rnacentral:lncRNA from 1 species